UCUAUCUUAGAUUAACGUGUUUACAUAUUAUUUCAUAAUAGGCUCCUUGAAAGCCUAAGCUACUGCUUGUUCUUAUUACCAACAGAAGAAACCAAAGAACCUCGCACUAAGCUUAUUAAUGUGUCCUGGUUGCUCUCCAGAAUGGGCUUUCCAGUUGCCAUAGCAACCAGGCCUGCGAUAUUGCUUAGUUGGAGAGACAAGUUGGUGCAGGAUAAAUAUAAACCUUCUGCUGUAACUGUUGUGUGAAGCAGCUUAUCCCGUUUGUCAUUAAGUUAACCAGCGGCGGAUUCCUCCGUUCCAGUGCUGGUAUGUGUUCACGCCCAGUCAGGUUGAGGGAAAUCUAAAGGCCCUGAAAGAUUAAGGAGUGGAGCAGAAAAACACUUUUCAACUGGAUGACAUGGCAGCUCAGCAGGCUGGGCUGCCUGAGUGGGAUUGCCCCCUGUAAGCGACAGCCCAGAGUCAGCUGAGGAUGUGGAGAUCAUAUCAUUACAGCAUUGUUCUAUCUCUCUGUUGAAAGCGCGGCUCUUAGACCACAGGAGAGGCCAGGCACUCUGCCAGAAACACUUAUCAUCCUGACAUCCAUUUCUCACUGGCUUCACAGCUCAACUGUACUUUACGCCAAGCUUUCAUGAGAGCUCAGAGGUUUGGGAGCAGAGAAGGCAUCUUAGUCCAAAUGACUGUGAAAGGGUUUGGCACCAGAAACAGUUUAAUCUGAACCAGUCAGUGUGCAGAAUCAAGAUCUUUUUGUCAAAAAUCACACUUUUUUUCUUGAAAAGCUGUGGAAUCAUAAAUAAUUUGACCCACACAUAAUAAUCAAAAGACCCAGAAAGAGCUUCAGUGUUUUAAAGGCAUUCAUUCAUUCAUUCACCGUGCCAGAGAAAAGCCUGCUGGGUCAAGAACUAGAAAUUCAUGAAAAAAGUCACUAUGCAAUCCUUUUGUAAUUUUAAAUAUGUUUCUUACAUCUGUGAAUAUGAGUACAAUAAGCAUUUUUCUGAUGCAUUUGUCUCAUCAUUACUAAAUGAUUGAAAGCAUAAAAGGCUCUGGUCAGACUGAAUAAAUCAGUAGUGGACAGGGCUGUAAAGGUGUCGACCGCUCUGUAAUGUCACCUUUUUUAUUUUAAACAUAAAUGACUUCUCUAGCUGUUUCCUUGCAUCAUUUGUCCAUCUGAAACAUGCACACCAAACCAUUGAACUUUGACCCAAGGGGCUGGCUCUUAUGUGUUGUGCCAAAACAGUCAUAAAUUAAAAUAUGCUUCCCGAUGAGGCUUGUU